GGAAUCCGACUGUCUAAUUAAAACAAAGCAUUGCGAUGGCCGCUGGUCGGUGUUGACGCAAUGUGAUUUCUGCCCAGUGCUCUGAAUGUCAACGUGAAGAGAUUCAUCAAAGCGCGGGUUUUUUGGCGGGAGUAACUAUGACUCUCUUGUCUCCUAUGGCAUGCACGCCUUGGAUUCGGGGUGAGAGCAGAUGGUUGCUUGCUCGCGCAAAGUCGAACUCCCACCUGCUCGUGGUGUCCGCCGCAAGACUAGUGAGCCUAAAGGGGGUGCAUCCCUGGCGAACUCGUCUUCAACGGGAGCUCUCGCAUUCCUUCGGGGGGGGUGACCCUGCCCCCCCCACACCGGCUUGGCUAUCAUGGAAAAGGGACUCCUAAGACCCUGACCGAGUGGUCGGGGUUCCAAGUCUGGAGUCGGGCUGACUGCACUUAUGACGCCAUAAACACACCAAGCUGGAUAGGUGCUUGGCUGAAGCCUAUGUGGGUCCUGUCAUGGGGCAUCUGGUGAGGGCUUUUGCCCUCCCACUUGAGCGUUGUACGUUGGCCAGGCUUCGUUUUUUCGCCCCUGCUUUCUGGAGCACGGGGCGGUUUGGGUUCCUCUGCCCAGCUACCAUCAGAGUGACAAUCAAAGCUUCUUCACCAGUUUCUGGGGAGGCUCUACCACGAGGCCGGUACCGGCCUCUUCCGGGUUGUGGGCCUUGAGCUCAGCUUCCUGUGGAGUCGGGAGCCCUGCCCAUGUAACAUCUCCGGGCAGGGGAGCCGCCUGGCCUUGACUGGCCUUGUGGUUCCCCAGCACUCUUGGAGAAACAGGCAAUAGCCAAAUGCCUCGUCAUCUAAUUAGUGACGCG
rnacentral:ncRNA from 1 species